AUUGAACGCUGGCGGCAUGCCUUACACAUGCAAGUCGAACGGCAGCGGGGGAGAAGCUUGCUUUUCCUGCCGGCGAGUGGCGAACAGGUGAGUAAUACAUCGGAACGUGCCCUGUAGUGGGGGAUAACUAGUCGAAAGAUUAGCUAAUACCGCAUACGACCUGAGGGCGAAAGUGGGGGACCGCAAGGCCUCAUGCUAUAGGAGCGGCCGAUGUCUGAUUAGCUAGUUGGUGGGGUAAAGGCCUACCAAGGCGACGAUCAGUAGCUGGUUCUGAGCGGACGAUCAGCCACACUGGGACUGAGACACGGCCCAGACUCCUACGGGAGGCAGCAGUGGGGAAUUUUGGACAAUGAGCGAAAGCCUGAUCCAGCAAUGCCGCGUGUGUGAAGAAGGCCUUCGGGUUGUAAAGCACUUUUGUCCGGAAAGAAAUGGCUCUGGUUAAUACCUGGGGUCGAUGACGGUACCGGAAGAAUAAGGACCGGCUAACUACGUGCCAGCAGCCGCCGUAA
rnacentral:rRNA from 1 species